GUCUAUUUGGAGGUAUAAAAAGUCUGGCCUGCCCACUGAUAAUUUUUUAAAGGGCCGCGGUAAUCUGACCGUGCAAAGGUAGCAUAAUCGUUAGUUUUUUAAUUGGAAUCUUGUAUGAAUGGUUGAACAAAAGAAUAACUGUCUCUAUACUUCUUUUGAAUUUAACUUUUGAGUGAAAAGGCUCAAAUGUUUUAAGAAGACGAUAAGACCCUGUAAAGCUUUAAUAAAUUUUUAUUAUUAAGUAAAAUUUAAUGAUGUAUAAAAAUUUAGUUUUAAAUGUUUAUUUUGUUGGGGCGACAAUAAUAUAAUGUUUAUUAACUGUUUUUCCUAAAGACAUAUUUAUUGAUUAACAAUAUAAAUGAUCCUUAUUUGAAGAUUAAAAGUUCAAGUUACUUCAGGGAUAACAGCGUUAUUUUUUUUAAGAGUUCAUAUCGAAAAAAAAGUUUGCGACCUCGAUGUUGAAUUAAAGUUUCUUUAUAAUUGCAGAAGUUAUAUUAGAGGGUCUGUUCGACCUUUAAACCUUUACAUGAUUUGAGUUCAGACCGGCGCGAG
rnacentral:rRNA from 1 species